rnacentral:rRNA from 1 species
UACGUAGGGUGCAAGCGUUAAUCGGAAUUACUGGGCGUAAAGCGUGCGCAGGCGGUUAUGCAAGACAGGUGUGAAAUCCCCGGGCUCAACCUGGGAAUGGCAGUGGAAACUAGGAGACUUGAAUCUGGCAGAGGGGGGUGGAAUUCCACGUGUAGCAGUGAAAUGCGUAGAGAUGUGGAGGAACACCGAUGGCGAAGGCAGCCCCCUGGGCUGAGAUUGACGCUCAGGCACGAAAGCGUGGGGAGCAAACAGG